rnacentral:rRNA from 1 species
CCAAUCAAACCAGGAGAUAGCUCGUACUCCCCGAAAUGCAUUUAGGUGCAGCGUCGGCUUUGAGUAUCAUGGAGGUAGAGCUACCAAUAGGGCUAGGGGGCUUCACCGCCUACCAACCCCUGAUGAACUCCGAAUGCCAUGAUAUUACACCGGCAGUGAGGCAAUGGGUGCUAAGGUCCUUUGCCAAGAGGGGAACAACCCAGACCAUCAGCUAAGGUCCCUAAAUAUUAACUAAGUUGAUCUAACGAGGUGAGAAUGCAUUGACAGCUAGGAUGUUGGCUUGGAAGCAGCCAUUCAUUUAAAGAGUGCGUAACAGCUCACUAGUCGAGCGUUCUUGCGCGGAAAAUAAUCGGGCAUCAAGUUAAUUACCGAAGCUAUGGAUUCGUCUUCGGACGAGUGGUAGGGGAGCAUUCUAACGACACUGAAGUUUCAGCGCGAGCUGGGAUGGAGUUUUUAGAAAAGAAAAUGUAGGAAUGAGUAACGAUAAAUUAGGUGAGAAACCUAAUCGCCGUAAGACUAAGGUUUCCUCGAUCUAUGUUAAUCAGAUCAGGGUUAGUCGGGUCCUAAGGUGUAGCCGACAGGCGAAGCCGAUGGCAAACGGGUUAAUAUUCCCGUACUUGUAUAUAUUGCGAUGGGGUGACGAAGACGCGUAAGAGCUGCGUACUGACGGAAUAGUACGUUGAAGUCCGUAGACGUUGAUCUGGUAGGCAAAUCCGCCAGUGAGUUGAUGGACGAUAGUACACUGACCCGUAUCGGGGAUGUGAUAAUGCUCCCAAGCAGGCUUCCAAGAAAAACCUCUAAGCUUCAGAUAUAUACAACCCGUACCGUAAACCGACACAGGUAGUCGAGGAGAGUAUCCUAAGGCGCUCGAGUGAUUCAUGGCUAAGGAACUAGGCAAAAUGGUCUCGUAACUUCGGGAGAAGAGACGCUCUAUUUAACUAUGGAGCCGCAGUGAAGAGGCCCAAGCGACUGUUUAGCAAAAACACAGGACUCUGCAAAAUCGAAAGAUGAAGUAUAGGGUCUGACACCUGCCCGGUGCUGGAAGGUUAAGGA